rnacentral:lncRNA from 1 species
CUCCUACAUAUUUCACCAUAAAAAGUUAACCGCGAUAAACAGACUAGAAACCUCACUGUGAGUUGAAAUGUGCUUAUAUUUAUCACAGAUUCCUAGGUACAGGACUAUGGCAACUGAAAGGGGACGGUGCUUUUUAACUUUUUUUGAGGUGGGGGAGGGGAGAUGGUGAGGUGAUGGAGAAUUUUCGGGCCUGCGAAGUAGCCCACAGGUUUUUUACCAUGGUUGCAAAGCUCUUGAUGAGCUGAGUGCAAAUCAGGUAAUCCAUAUUGCCAUGUCAGGAAGCAAGGACCAGGAGUGGAAGUGAGGGCUCCAAAACUUAUGGCUGGGUGGCCAUAUGAGAUUCUCAAAGGCGUCAGUGCCUCCAAAAGAAAAAAACAAGAAAACCAACAUUGAGAACUCCCAGUAUAAAGUGACCAGAGAGGAGAGCCUAGGACCAAAUGCUGAAAAACACACAUUUGAAAAAAUAAACUUAUUAAUUUGUUUCUCUUUUGGCUGUGCUGGGUCUUGGUUG